rnacentral:tRNA from 1 species
AUGAUUAUAGUUAAAUAGGUUAUAACAUUUGUUUUGCCAAACAAAUAUUAUCAGUUCAAUUCUGAUUAAUCAUA